GAUGAACGCUAGCGACAGGCCUAACACAUGCAAGUCGAGGGGCAGCAUAAAGGUAGCAAUACUUUGGUGGCGACCGGCGCGCGGGUGAGUAACACGUAUGCAACCUACCUGUAAGAGGGGAAUAACCCGGAGAAAUUCGGACUAACACCGCAUAAUACCUCGAAGCUGCAUGGCUUUGAGGUUAAAUAUUUAUAGCUUACAGAUGGGCAUGCGUAACAUUAGAUAGUUGGUGAGGUAACGGCCUACCAAGUCAACGAUGUUUAGGGGUUCUGAGAGGAAGGUCCCCCACACUGGUACUGAGACACGGACCAGACUCCUACGGGAGGCAGCAGUGAGGAAUAUUGGUCAAUGGGCGCAAGCCUGAACCAGCCAUGCCGCGUGCAGGAUGAAGCAUCUAUGGUGUGUAAACUGCUUUUGUACGGGAAGAAACACUGCUACGUGUAGCAGCUUGACGGUGCCGUAAGAAUAAGGAUCGGCUAACUCCGUGCCAGCAGCCGCCGUAAGAC
rnacentral:rRNA from 1 species